UUGCCGGGGCGGGCGGCUAAGCUCGUGCAGGAGCUCAGCGAGCCCUUUGUUUGUCUGCUUACCGUGCAGAGGCUUUCGGGCACCGGCAGGGGAGGGAAAAGGCCUUUCGGGAGCCGGGACCCCGCAGCGAGUGCGAGCGCCCCCUGCGCUGGGCGUUUAAGCCUGCGGCGGCCGGAGCAGCGCAACAAGGCUGGUGCUUCCGCAGGUGGUGAAGGUGCCCCCGGCAGGGAGAGGUGCCCGGCUGGUGAGAAGCCGCCGUCUGGAGCUGCGCUGGGGCUGGGCUCCCCCUCCGCAGCCCCGCAGCUGCAGCAGCAGCGUUCGGCAAACUGGGCGAAAGGCGUCCUGCUACCGGGGCGGGCUGAGCCUCGUUAGUUGGGUCCCGCCUCGCCCCACUCGGUUCCCGGCGCCAGGCGCAUGGGCGGAAGCAGAGCUGCUGCGGGGGGAGCGGGUGGGCGCUCGGUCGAGCUAGGACGGGGCUGGGGGGGCCGGCAGCCGGGUAGGGGGGAAAGGGGAGAAGAGGAGGCAAAGGCUCUGCCCUGGCCCUGUGCUCAGCCCGCCCAGGAGGAGCCGCCCGGGGCGGCCCCGAGGCUCCCGGUUCAGCUGGGAGGCUGCAUAUGGCCCCUGGCCCCUCCGUGUGCGGAGAAAAGGACCGGAGCAGGCGGCAGGUACCGGCCGGCAGGGUUCAGGUUCAGCCCCUUGGGAGCGGGGUUUGCGUUCACUAACGGGUUCUGCUGCCUGCGGGGGGCGAACGAGGGAGGAGCGCAGGAAUCCCGGUUGCCGGCAGCAGCCUCUGUGCAACUAGAGUCAGAGGACGCAUGUCCCGGUAGGGCUCCUCGCCCCUCCGGCCCCUGCAGGGACCCGGAGAGGGGUAUUUGCACUGGGCUCCCCCAGUAUAAGGCCUCUCGCCCCGUGGCUGGCUAUGGUCUGGGAGCUCACAUGAGAGCAAGGGUUCAUCCUCCCGGCUGUCCUUCGUCCUGCCGGCUGUGACACUGCGGCCGCUUCCUCACAAGGGGUUUUGCAGUGUAGGGGAGCAGCCGAGCGGCAGAAGGGCUGCUCGGCUCAAAAUGAGCAGCGCCGGGGAACGCUGAUACAGGAGGACGAGCCCAGGCGAGGAGCGCGGCCCUGACAUGGCAGCGCUGGGGGACACCGACACGGGAGGAGAUGUCUGGUGAGCGCUCUGCAGCGGGCGGGUGGCUGUGCCGUGCUCUGGAGUGUCUGGAAGGGUCACCCCGGACACACGUGAGCUGGAGAAGCUGUGCCUGGCUGCGGCCGAGGAGGACAAUGUGCCAUGUUUCUGGCUCCUGGCACUGGUGGUGGUUCUGUUGGGGGCGGUUUGGGGCUGGUACCGGUCCUGGGCUGUGGUAGGGUCAGGGCUGUGGCAGAACCUCGUGUCUCUGUUGUGCCUGGUUGUUGCUCGGGAGGAAAAUGUUGUUGCUUGUGGCUUCUGGUUGUGUUGUGGGACCAGUCACUGCAGGUAGCUGAGGGAAGCUCCCAUGAUAGAGCUGCCCCAGGGUGGCUUCUCUCCACGCCAUCAGCCUGCACCCAGCAGGCACUACCAUGGCUGCUCCGCCGUGGGCCUCCGUGGUUGUUCUGGGCCCCUCCUGAAACCGUCUCAGCUUUAUUUGAUGUGUGGCACUGGGCUUGGCUCAACUGUACAUGACGUUUAGCACUUGGGUCGGUUCAGCGUUAGCUGAUGCAAAGCAGGAUGCGAAUUGCAGCCUGCAUCUGCCCCGGUCCUGCUCCCAGCAGGGUCAGGGUGGUGGUUUGGGGGGGAGUGCUGUGACAGCCAGGGUGGCUGGGUGCCUGAAACGCUCCUUGCUGAGCAGAGGGGGUUCAGUGGGGCGUGCUUCUUGACUGCCCUUUGGGUGAUGAAUGAGUUUUUCCUGGCUGAACCCUGAGCUCUCCCGUUGUUGUUUCUCCCUUGCUAUCACCUGUGUUGGUGCUGGGCAGCCUCUGCUGAAAGCAACGGGCAAGAGGAAAGGGAAGUGUUGCCUUAGCCCAGGAGGGGGGCAGGCAUCUCCCAUGGGUUAUGUGGGGCCGUGCUGUGCACACUGGGAGCUCUGACCAACUGCUUUUGCUCCUCUUUUUUGGGUACAGAGGAGACACUGGUGCUGCCUUGCCUGCACCUGCCCACUGCAGGAGAUCUGGUGGGGACGCCUCUCAGUUCUGACCUUAGAAUUGGGAGAGACCCUCUGUGCAGAGAGAGGCACUUGGCAUGGAUUUAUUCCCUGAGGGAAGAGGCUGGGCUCCCUGCUGUUUGGAGCAACUUGCUGGUGACAGCCAUGUACCUGUACACCUGCCUCAGAGAACAUGUCCUGUGGACGGACACCCCAGCUUGCUACAGCUCAGGUAAUUUCAGCUCCAGGCACAGGAUGUUCCUGAUAACAGUCACUCCUUCCUGUUACAGCUGCAGGUCAGCUCGACUCUCCUCGUGGAGGCUACAGAGAGCAGAUGUCCUGCUCAACCAUGCUGUCUGCACAGCCCUGCUGAUGGAUGUCACAGCUCCAGCUAAUGGACACUCCAGCUCUGGGGCACAUCCAGCCAUUGGCCCUCUGGAUAAGAGAUGUUCCUGCUGAUGGGCUCACCAGCGUGUUACUGCUCGGGGUAUUUGAAGCCCUGGCUCCAGCUACACGAUGCUCUGCUGAUGGACACUCCAGUUCGUUUCAAUUCUGGCUACGAGAUGCUCCUGCUACAUGCAGCUGUGGCUGAGGAAGUGAAGCUGCUUCUUGUUACCAGCUUUGGCUUAAUAAAUGCUCCUUCUUGUUACCAGC
rnacentral:lncRNA from 1 species